GAUGACGGUGAUUUUUAAUGAGAAGUAGUCAUUUCACAGGAAAGGAUACUGACCUCAGGAGCCAGGUGGAUGGCAGAGGACUUCAGCUCUGCGGGCUGUGCCCUGGUUUCAACUUUGCACGCUGGCCUAGGGAAGUCCCAUACAAAAGCCCACAGAUGCAAGAACAGCACUGACAGCGCCCCUCCUCCCCUGCCAGCUGGCGUGGAGAUCCAGA